rnacentral:rRNA from 1 species
GCAGUCGAACGGUAACAGGAGAGCAGCUUGCUGCUUUGCUGACGAGUGGCGGACGGGUGAGUAAUGUCUGGGAAACUGCCUGAUGGAGGGGGAUAACUACUGGAAACGGUAGCUAAUACCGCAUAACGUCGCAAGACCAAAGAGGGGGACCUUCGGGCCUCUUGCCAUCGGAUGUGCCCAGAUGGGAUUAGCUAGUAGGUGGGGUAACGGCUCACCUAGGCGACGAUCCCUAGCUGGUCUGAGAGGAUGACCAGCCACACUGGAACUGAGACACGGUCCAGACUCCUACGGGAGGCAGCAGUGGGGAAUAUUGCACAAUGGGCGCAAGCCUGAUGCAGCCAUGCCGCGUGUAUGAAGAAGGCCUUCGGGUUGUAAAGUACUUUCAGCGGGGAGGAAGGCGACAGGGUUAAUAACCCUGUCGAUUGACGUUACCCGCAGAAGAAGCACCGGCUAACUCCGUGCCAGCAGCCGCGGUAAUACGGAGGGUGCAAGCGUUAAUCGGAAUUACUGGGCGUAAAGCGCACGCAGGCGGUCUGUCAAGUCGGAUGUGAAAUCCCCGGGCUCAACCUGGGAACUGCAUUCGAAACUGGCAGGCUAGAGUCUUGUAGAGGGGGGUAGAAUUCCAGGUGUAGCGGUGAAAUGCGUAGAGAUCUGGAGGAAUACCGGUGGCGAAGGCGGCCCCCUGGACAAAGACUGACGCUCAGGUGCGAAAGCGUGGGGAGCAAACAGG